rnacentral:rRNA from 1 species
GAUGAACGCUGGCGGCGUGCUUAACACAUGCAAGUCGAACGGGAAACCUUUUAUUGAAGCUUCGGCAGAUUUAGCUGGUUUCUAGUGGCGGACGGGUGAGUAACGCGUGGGUAACCUGCCCUAUACAGGGGGAUAACAACCAGAAAUGGUUGCUAAUACCGCAUAAGCGCACAGGACCGCAUGGUCCGGUGUGAAAAACUCCGGUGGUAUAGGAUGGACCCGCGUUGGAUUAGCCAGUUGGCAGGGUAACGGCCUACCAAAGCGACGAUCCAUAGCCGGCCUGAGAGGGUGAACGGCCACAUUGGGACUGAGACACGGCCCAGACUCCUACGGGAGGCAGCAGUGGGGAAUAUUGCACAAUGGGGGAAACCCUGAUGCAGCGACGCCGCGUGAAGGAAGAAGUAUCUCGGUAUGUAAACUUCUAUCAGCAGGGAAGAUAGUGACGG